rnacentral:rRNA from 1 species
UACGGGGGGGGCAAGCGUUGUUCGGAAUUACUGGGCGUAAAGGGCUCGUAGGCGGCCAACUAAGUCAGACGUGAAAUCCCUCGGCUUAACCGGGGAACUGCGUCUGAUACUGGAUGGCUUGAGUUUGGGAGAGGGAUGCGGAAUUCCAGGUGUAGCGGUGAAAUGCGCAGAUAUCGGGAGGAACACCGGUGGCGAAGGCGGUUCUCUGGGCCUGACCUGACGCUGAGGAGCGAAAGCGUGGGGAGCGAACAGG